rnacentral:misc_RNA from 1 species
GGUGAAGAACGCAGCGAAAUGCGAUAAGUAAUGUGAAUUGCAGAAUUCAGUGAAUCAUCGAAUCUUUGAACGCACAUUGCGCCCGCCAGUAUUCUGGCGGGCAUGCCUGUUCGAGCGUCAUUACAACCCUCAGGCCCCCGGGCCUGGCGUUGGGGAUCGGCGGAAGCCCCCUGUGGGCACACGCCGUCCCUCAAAUACAGUGGCGGUCCCGCCGCAGCUUCCAUUGCGUAGUAGCUAACACCUCGCAACUGGAGAGCGGCGCGGCCAUGCCGUAAAACACCCAACUUCUGAAUGUUGACCUCGAAUCAGGUAGGAAUACCCGCUGAACUUAAGCAUAUCAAUAAGCGAGGA